rnacentral:lncRNA from 1 species
AGGUGAUGGUGCAGCCCAUCGUAUCCUCCGCGGCGUGAACUCUGGGCUUUGGGGCUUUGAUGAGUACAUGAACCUCGUAUUAGAUGAUGCAGAAGAAAUUCAUUCUAAAACAAAGUCAAGAAAACAACUGGGUCGGAUCAUGCUCAAAGGAGAUAAUAUUACUCUGCUCCAAAGCGUUUCCAACUAGCAGUGGCCAAGCAUGGGAGAGGUUGAGAAGGGGCUCAGGGGCUGCUGGUGACUACAUUUACUCAUCCUGUUUCACUUGUACAUUCUCAUUGGGGUAAAAAUAAAUGUGAGCUUGUUUUUG